GAACUCCCCAGUCGUCUCUAAUACCUAAACUAAAGAAAUUUAGCCGCCCCAAUUUUCCCGAUUGUCUACCGCCCUCUGCAGAUGGAAAAUGCCUCACGGCAGUGGAACUUCUCCAAGUGGGCCCGAACCAACACCCCAAAACCCCCGCUAUCUCCUCUUUCUAAAUCUCCAAACCGAUUCCCUCGAAUCACUCUCAAACGCCUUGAAUUUCAACUUUAAGUUUCAAUCCUAGAAACCCCAAUUCACCGAAAUCGCCCCAAAUUAACACCCGAUAAUCAUUACACCUCUCUAAAAUAUAAACCACCAUUAAUACCUUUCGAAUCAGCCUUUUUGAAUCCGAGUUCUCAAGAACCCUAACUUCCUUUCACUUCCAAAUUUUCUGGCAGUUUUUGGGGAUUUUGAACCCAAGAUUUCCUUGAGUCCAUUACUCUUAAUAAGAGCAGUGCAUUGAUAGUUGUCUAAAGUUCAUUUGCACCUCGAAAAUUUAAUCUGAAUUCUAAAGCAUUUCAGUUUUUAUUGAUGAAGAAAAUAAGCAUUAGGUAAUUUAUUGUACCUUUUUGCUUCUUUAGUUUUCUUUUGGUUUUCACCAUUUUCCCUUCUUGAUAAUUGCUUUUGAUUUGGCCGCAUAAUUUAGGUUUUUUUUUCUUCCUGUUAGUUUCAUUAUUUGCAUGUUUAGAUUUCAUUAUUAGGGAUUUAAUUUGCAUGUUUAGUUUCUGAUAACUCUUUAUUUCUCUUUCACGUUUGCUUCUUCUUGAAAGUUUGUUUUCAGUAUCCCUUAGUUUAAUUAGGAUAGAGUUAAUGGUAAUUAAUUUCCUAUUUCAUCUAAUUCUUAAUAGAUUUAGUUUUAGCCUAAUUCAGCGUAGUCUUAGUUAAAAUAGUUUACUUUUGAUUAGCUAUUUGAAUCUUAGUUUACAUGCUUACAUGUUUUGAUUGAUUAGUAUUAACUGAUUUUAACUUAGGUUUGAACCUCAGAAUAGCAGUUUAAACCUUAUUUUAAUUUUAGUUUAAUUUCAGAAAAUGAAAUGCAACACCACUAGGCAACCUAAUCACUUAGUUGAAGAUCUUAAAAUGGUUGUAAUUGAUUUGUAAUCAGAAAAUAGGAGAAAUCUGAAAUAGUAAAUAAUUUAAAGGGUACAAUUGGUCUUUUUCAAAGGUUAACCAUCAGAAUGUUCUAGGCUUUUCACAGCUGCCCCCAUCUUUAGCCUAAACAUACUAGUAUUGGAUAAAAAAAGAUAGACAACUGUAAAAGAUGUUUUACUAGUUUGAUUUUAAGAAUUUUUUUGUUAGGAUAAUCUUUUUUUAGUCCUUUUUGUGCACUCUAUAAAAGGGAAAGAUUCCCUCACUCACACACGCACACAUUCAUCAAGAUUUCUCUACACAAAAGCUUUAGGAAAAGGCAUUAGAUUUCAGAAACUCUAGAAAACUUUCAAAACUUCUUAUUUUUGGUCUUUACAAGCUGAAAAAUAUUGUUUGAAGUAGAGGGUUUUUCUUGGGUUCUUUAUCUGGAAUUUCUAGCUUCAAUGUUGGUUCGCUUUGGUUUAAAAUUAUGGUUAAUUUGGUGUUGUUGCUGUUGUGUUGGUUUCUGUCUUUGCAAUCUUCAGCCAUCUUCACUCUUUCUCUCUCCUGUUUUUGCUAGUUUUAUUGCUGCUACUUAGGUAUUUAACUUCUGCUCCUUCUCUAUGUAAUGCCAUGGAUGGUUUGUUAAAAUGAUAUAAAGUCAGAUGUAUAAAUAGUGUUUGUAGAAGUGAAUAUUUUUCAUACUGGUGGUAAGCUUACAAUGAUAUGAAUGUGAUUAAAUUUUGACUAUGCAAGUUUAAAUGUUUGAGCAUGAAUAACCUAGUUUAUACUUGAAUUCCUUGUAGUUUCAGUUUGCAAAAAUAUCCUUGUUUAUGUCCAUAGCCAAAACUUCUAGUUAUUAAUGUUGAAUAUAAAACUUUAAUGUUAUUUUUCUUUCCUUUAUGUGAAUAGACAACUUUUCCCUUAUUUAAAGCCCUUUAUUUUCUCUCUUGUUUGUCUGGCUGUAAGCUACUGCUUGCAGAUUUGGCUACUAGUUGGCAAAAUCAGCAGGUUUAAAAGCUGAAAAUGGAAUAUCAUGCUACUAUAACAAGAGAAGACAAAGCCCUAAUGGAGAAACUAUGUCAAAGAGAGGCAGAGAUUCUUCAUGACAUCAUUUAUAAAAAUUUGUAAUAGUUUAGCCUUUAAUAUAGUUAGGAUGUGACAAACUUUAAUGUAAGAUGUUAAUUAUGAAAGUUGUUUGUUCUAUUUUAGAAAACUGUAAUAAAUAAGGUAUUGGUGUCGAUGCAUAAUGAGCUUACUUAUGUGUUUUUACUGUUUUACAAAAUAGUAAUGGUGCUGGGUUUUGAGCCCACUCAGUAGAACCAAAGCUGCUUAUUUGAUAAUAAAGGGGUUGAAUUUGUAGCCCAAAUUAACCUCAGACAAGUUGGGCCUAGUCCAUAGGCUCAAACUUUGAGUCAGUCUAGAAUCCUUUUUUCAUGGAUCAUUUUAUGUCAAUUGAUUAAUUAUUAGUACUCAGCUUAUAUAUAUUUUUUCAAAAUUUUAACAUGUUAGAACAAUAGUAUUGC
rnacentral:lncRNA from 1 species